AAUCACGUGUUGCUUUUGCAGCUGUUUAUCCAGGGCCGGGAGAUUCACAAUGUAAAGAGGGUGCAUUAUCUGUUAAGAGGGCCCUUGAUUUCAACUUCCAGGAUGUGGAUGGAUUAUUGCGUCUUGUGCGGGUCGCCAUGGAAGCUAUCAGCCAUUAGAGUGCAAGCUGUUGUUGAAAUUGUCCACUUCUUGGAACAUAGUUUUGUACCUGCUCUCCAUUACUGUCAGUUGAGCAAGUAAAAGCGAGGAUCUCUUGGUUGGAGUUAAGGGGAGUCUUGGAGUAACGGUAAAGUUGUCUCUAUGUCACAUGAACUGGGUUCAAGCCAAGGAAUCAAUCACUGAUAAGCAUCAGGGAAGGCUGCCUUCAACACACCCCUUGGAGAGUGGUCCAUCUCCAGACCUAGUCUGAACGUGGAUGCUUCAUACACCGGGCUGUCAGAAAUUCACAUCAUUCAGUUGCCCGUUACUUGUCCUACUGACUUGGUACAUAAGAAACCGAGAUAACUUGUUGGUUUUGAC
rnacentral:misc_RNA from 1 species